rnacentral:rRNA from 1 species
UACGUAGGGUGCGAGCGUUGUCCGGAAUUAUUGGGCGUAAAGAGCUUGUAGGCGGUUUGUCGCGUCUGCUGUGAAAAUCCGGGGCUCAACCCCGGACUUGCAGUGGGUACGGGCAGGCUAGAGUGCGGUAGGGGAGAGUGGAAUUCCUGGUGUAGCGGUGGAAUGCGCAGAUAUCAGGAGGAACACCGAUGGCGAAGGCAGAUCUCUGGGCCGUAACUGACGCUGAGGAGCGAAAGCGUGGGGAGCGAACAGG